rnacentral:lncRNA from 1 species
CAUUUGGGUUUACAUGGAACAUUUGGGUUUACAGCUUUCCAAACUCUUCCAAGAGAAUGAUGGGGCUGCUCUGGGAAGGCUCUGAGCAGGAAUCACAGGCUCAGGCCUUGCCUACAGCAGGAGGUGGAGGGAGAUCUGAUAGAUCAUCUGAGAGAUUCAGUGGCUGCAGAGUUUCUGCUCGCUCUCCAGUGACUAAGGAGGAGAGGAAAACCCAGAGUGUAUGAGAAGACCAAGCCCAGGAACUGAGCAUCCACCAAGUGACCCCACGGUGGACAACAAGAAGCUUCAGUGACCCUGAAUGAAGCUGCUGACAUUUCUUUUGAGCACCAUUGCAGAGCAAAUCUACCAAGUCACCUCAGCCUUCUCUGGGGGAAUCUGAACCACUUGAAUUUCUACUCAAGCACAUGAUUUGCUUCUGAUUAGAGAUAUGGGUAGGAAAAAACAUAAAUAAAGCAAGCACAGCCC